UACGUAGGGUGCAAGCGUUGUCCGGAAUUAUUGGGCGUAAAGAGCUCGUAGGCGGUUUGUCGCGUCGGCUGUGAAAACCUGGGGCUCAACCCCGGGCCUGCAGCCGAUACGGGCAAACUAGAAUUCGGUAGGGGAGACUGGAAUUCCUGGUGUAGCGGUGAAAUGCGCAGAUAUCAGGAGGAACACCGAUGGCGAAGGCAGGUCUCUGGGCCACUACUGACGCUGAGAAGCGAAAGCAUGGGGAGCGAACAGG
rnacentral:rRNA from 1 species